AUUGAACGCUGGCGGCAGGCUUAACACAUGCAAGUCGAGCGGAGAGAGGUAGCUUGCUACCGAUCUUAGCGGCGGACGGGUGAGUAAUGCUUAGGAAUCUGCCUAUUAGUGGGGGGCAACAUUUCGAAAGGAAUGCUAAUACCGCAUACGUCCUACGGGAGAAAGCAGGGGAUCUUCGGACCUUGAGCUAAUAGAUGAGCCUAAGUCGGAUUAGCUAGUUGGUGGGGUAAAGGCCUACCAAGGCGACGAUCUGUAGCGGGUCUGAGAGGAUGAUCCGCCACACUGGGACUGAGACACGGCCCAGACUCCUACAGGAGGCGGCAGUGGGGAAUAUUGGACAAUGGGCGCAAGCCUGAUCCAGCCAUGCCGCGUGUGUGAAGAAGGCCUUAUGGUUGUAAAGCACUUUAAGCGAGGAGGAGGCUACUUUAGUUAAUACCUAGAGAUAGUGGACGUUACUCGCAGAAUAAGCACCGGCUAACUCUGUGCCAGCCGCCGCGGUAAAAC
rnacentral:rRNA from 1 species